ACUUGUGACUGUAUCAGAGGAAAUUCCCUCUGUGGGCUCUGGUAGCGGGAAUUAGUGGACAGCACCUCGUGAGAUGCUAAUGCAGAGCAGAUGUGUGGCUUCAUGGAGAGAGGUUCUUAUUCUAAAGGAGCCAAUGUCUCCACUUUGUCAUUGAGGCUCCUGCAGGUGGGAACGGCCAGGCAGUCCUUGUACGUCUGCGGCAGCAGCUCCCCAACAGCCCCGGCCUAAUGCUCUUCCUGGGCCUGCUGAUUGGACGACUGUUUCAGUAUAUCAGGAGGAGGAGAUGACUGAUUGGACAGAUGGAAAACCCAGCAGACCUGUAGCCCCUGAACUUAAUGUACAUGAUGUAAAUACGACCUGCAUGCUUUCGAGCAGUUGCAGUUGCAGUUGCAGUUGCAGUUGCAGUUGCAGUCUCUCCGUUGGUUACCCCAUGCUGGUGGAACUCCAGUGCAAUGGGACUUGCUGUUUGGUUCUGGUGUGAUGGCAACUUCACCAGAUCAGAGAUUGAAGAUUGGAAUGUUGGCAAGGGGAGCAAUUUUUUUUGUUUGUUUGUUUGUUUGUUCCAGUAAAUCUGCAGCACGUGGAUAUUUUUCAUCUUAUUUUUUGAAAUAAUGAGUUUCCUGCAUGAUAUUGGAAAGCUGAGCCAAACAUGCUGUGGAUUGCCUGGACUGAGCAAGCAGCCCUCUGUCCGAGCAGAGCAUGGCGGAAACAAACAUUCCUCUUUUUUGGUCCUCUUCUUUGGUUUCUUCCUCUGUCUUUUUUUGUUUGACUUUUGCGUCUAUUUAUUUCACCUUUUUUGUAUUUAAUUUGUACAUUUGUGUAUAGAUAUCAUUUCUGUUGUUGACGUGGUCAUUAGGCAGCGUAGCAGAAUCUCUGAUGUUCCUGCAAAAGCAGCGCUGUCUCUCCAGUAUGGUCUCCUUGGUCUAAAAUUUGGCACUUCCAUUUUUGUGUGUUGAUAUUGCAGAAUUAUAUUAAGUCUUUUCAUGUUUUUAAAACCCCUUAUUACUCAAUUUUACAGUUGAUAGCUAUGUUGAAUAAUGUCCAGAUUUUAGAGUGAAAACCUUUAUGAUUUGUGAAGAAAAAAAAAGAAAAAGUGACAUCUGAUUGGCUGAGAAAAAUAUGAACUGAUACUGGUGUUACACUUUCCAACAUCAAUCAUCUCACUGUUGUAACCUUUGGCAGGCCCAUCCUUCAGAUGCGUGCCAAUUUGCCAGCACAACAUAACUGUUGGCGUGGGUAUGUCCACCACUGAAGUGUCAGGUCAUUUAAAGAUCAUCUAACACCAGACUCCGCCACAGGGGAGAGCAGCUUCAUCAAUGAAAACCACUGAAUGAACUGGAUCCAGGGUAACAGGGUUUCAAAAGUUUUACACAGGGUUUUACACAGGCUCUAUCACAACACUGAGGUACAUGCAUAUCCAAUGUAAGGGCUAUAACCACCUGACCUGUCUGCUUGAGGUUUUUGCUUAAAGGUGCAGUUUGCAAUUCUAAACCAAUAUACUUUUUGUCAAAAUCAGCAAAUUGCUCACGGUCCCCUAGCUGUCUGUUCAGUGUUUGCGCUCAAAAAAAACUCCAGUGUUCCUACACAGUCCUGGCUCUGUAAAUGGGAAACAAACACAGUGGCUCGACCAAGCCAUAAACAUUCCCAGCCCCAAAAAAUGAACAACCUUUUGCAAAACCGAAUCGCAGACUGCAUCUUUAAGUACUUUUUUGUGUAGUCAUGAUUAAUAAGUAUGUGUGUUAAUGGAGGAAGGCAAUAGAGUACUGGAGGGCAUUGUGCUUACUACUUUGUGUGUGUGUGCCAUCCUUUGGAGGCUUCAUCCAAUUUAUAUAGUUCAAUCGAGCAGUCAUGCUUCCCAUAAUGCAAUCUGUCCUUUUAAACAGUAAGCUUUUGUCAGCAGUUGGUCUAAGGCAAAGCACACUUUUGUGUUUUGUUGGACAGUAAAAAUCUUGGAGCUAAAAUGAAUAGUACUAGAGAAUUUAAAGCAGAAAAGUAAUCGCUUACAGAGUCGAGCUCUGUGAGCAAGAAGCCAAGAGUAACAGAUAGACGUUGUUAUCUGAUUAUGACUCCUUUUUAUCUUCUCCUGGUCACACCCAGGGGCGAGGGUGAGAAAGUAACAACAGCCGACACAACCUCAUUUUUACACCUCUUUGAAAACAACCAAAAAACUGCGUAUUUCUCAGUGCCAAAAGACUACCGCUGAGCCUUUUGUACCUUUCUUAUGGUGAGUCAGUGAAUGAGACCAAAGAUCCUCUUUUGUACUGUAACUAAGCAAGACUUAACGUUGUGAAAGAGAACCUGUAAGCAGAUUUUUUUGACACACGAGUGAAUUUGAGAUCUUGUUUGUGUCAUUUGUAACUCCUAUGCAUUGCGUGUUCAUAACGGUAUGUUAUUUCCCCUUACAGUUGGCAAGUUACGCCAGCUGCUCCAGUAUUUUACCUGUAAUUUUAUUUCGUUAGCAUUGUUGUACACACCAUAACUGUGUAGCCUUUUAUUUCAGAACAACUAUUCUCGCAUUGAACAUUAGCGGCAGUGGGAGGCCAUCUUUUAGACAGACUCUAUAUGACAGCAUGUUCAGGACGUUUGCACUGAGGGCCUGGAGAAGCUGACCUAAGACCACCUCAUGGGACCCAGUUCAUAUGUAGCAAAAAUGUUUUCAGUUUUUUUUUUUAAACGUAUUUUGUAUUUUGCACUGAAAUUUUGCUAUGCUUUCAUAAUAAAUGUGCAAUACUGCUGUAAAUAAACAUGGCUGUCAGCUACUCUCUUCUUAAACAUGAAUGGAAAAGUCAGACUGUAAUUUUA
ensembl:lncRNA